GACGAACGCUGGCGGCGUGCCUAAUACAUGCAAGUAGGACGCACAGUUUAUACCGUAGCUUGCUACACCAUAGACUGUGAGUUGCGAACGGGUGAGUAACGCGUAGGUAACCUGCCUAUUAGAGGGGGAUAACUAUUGGAAACGAUAGCUAAUACCGCAUAACAGUAUGUAACACAUGUUAGAUGCUUGAAAGAUGCAAUUGCAUCGCUAGUAGAUGGACCUGCGUUGUAUUAGCUAGUAGGUAGGGUAAUGGCCUACCUAGGCGACGAUACAUAGCCGACCUGAGAGGGUGAUCGGCCACACUGGGACUGAGACACGGCCCAGACUCCUACGGGAGGCAGCAGUAGGGAAUCUUCGGCAAUGGGGGGAACCCUGACCGAGCAACGCCGCGUGAGUGAAGAAGGUUUUCGGAUCGUAAAGCUCUGUUGUUAAGGAAGAACGAGUGUGAAAAUGGAAAGUUCAUACUGUGACGGUACUUAACCAGAAAGGGACGGCUAACUACGUGCCAGCAGCCGCGGUAAUACGUAGGUCCCGAGCGUUGUCCGGAUUUAUUGGGCGUAAAGCGAGCGCAGGCGGUUAGAAAAGUCUGAAGUGAAAGGCAGUGGCUCAACCAUUGUAGGCUUUGGAAACUGUUUAACUUGAGUGCAGAAGGGGAGAGUGGAAUUCCAUGUGUAGCGGUGAAAUGCGUAGAUAUAUGGGGGAACACCGGUGGCGAAAGCGGCUCUCUGGUCUGUAACUGACGCUGAGGCUCGAAAGCGUGGGGAGCGAACAGG
rnacentral:rRNA from 1 species